GAUGAAGAACGUAGCGAAAUGCGAUAAGUAAUGUGAAUUGCAGAAUUCAGUGAAUCAUCGAAUCUUUGAACGCACAUUGCGCCCCCUGGUAUUCCGGGGGGCAUGCCUGGCCGAGCGUCAUUACAACCCUCAAGCUCAGCUUGGUGUUGGGCCCCGCCGCCCCGGCGGGCCCUAAAGUCAGUGGCGGUGCCGUCCGGCUCCGAGCGUAGUAAUUCUUCUCGCUCUGGAGGUCCGGUCGUGUGCUCGCCAGCAACCCCCAAUUUUUUUCAGGUUGACCUCGGAUCAGGUAGGGAUACCCGCUGAACUUAAGCAUACAAUAAGCGGAGGA
rnacentral:misc_RNA from 1 species